UUCAUAAACCGGCAAAGCAGUCGAAAGGCUGUGACGCAAAGCUAUAGGGCCUGUAAAAUGGCAGCCAGUUGCACCU
rfam:Clostridiales bacterium 59_14 Ley3_66761_scaffold_9905, whole genome shotgun sequence.